rnacentral:rRNA from 1 species
CAAUAGCGUAUAUUAAAGUUGUUGCGGUAAAAAAGCUCGUAGUUGGAUUUCUACCGAAGAUAGCCGGUCGGGUCUUCGACCUUGUAUCUGGUUUUGUCUUUGGUAUCCUCAUAGGGAACGUUUCUGCGCUUUAUUGCGUGGUGCGGUCUCUAUGACUUUUACUUUGAGGAAAUUAGAGUGUUCACGGCAGGCAAACGCCUUGAAUAUAUUAGCAUGGAAUAAUAACAUAGGAUCUUCGUCCUAUUUUGUUGGUUUCUAGGGCUAAGAUAAUGAUUAAUAGGGAUAAUUGGGGGCAUCUGUAUCAACGCGUCAGAGGUGGAAUUCUUGGAUUGCGUUGCGACAAACUACUGCGAAAGCAUUUGCCAAGGAUGUUUUCAUUGA